rnacentral:rRNA from 1 species
GAUCCUGGCUUAGGAUGAACGCUAGCUACAGGCUUAACACAUGCAAGUCGAGGGGCAGCAUUGGAGUAGCAAUACUCAGAUGGCGACCGGCGCACGGGUGAGUAACACGUAUCCAACCUGCCGCUUACUCGGGGAUAGCCUUUCGAAAGAAAGAUUAAUACCCGAUGGUAUAAAGAGUUCGCAUGUUCUCUUUAUUAAAGAAUUUCGGUAAGCGAUGGGGAUGCGUUCCAUUAGAUAGUUGGCGGGGUAACGGCCCACCAAGUCUACGAUGGAUGGGGGUUCUGAGAGGAAGGUCCCCCACAUUGGAACUGAGACACGGUCCAAACUCCUACGGGAGGCAGCAGUGAGGAAUAUUGGUCAAUGGACGAGAGUCUGAACCAGCCAAAAGUAGCGUGAAGGAUGACUGCCCUAUGGGUUGUAAACUUCUUUUAUAAGGGAAUAAAGUGAGGGACGUGUCCCUUUUUGUAUGUACCUUAUGAAUAAGGAUCGGCUAACUCCGUGCCAGCCGCCGC